rnacentral:rRNA from 1 species
GAUGAACGCUGGCGGCGUGCCUAAUACAUGCAAGUCGAGCGAAUGGAUUGAGAGCUUGCUCUUAUGAAGUUAGCGGCGGACGGGUGAGUAACACGUGGGUAACCUGCCCAUAAGACUGGGAUAACUCCGGGGAACCGGGGCUAAUACCGGAUAACAUUUUGAACCGCAUGGUUCGAAAUUGAAAGGCGGCUUCGGCUGUCACUUAUGGAUGGACCCGCGUCGCAUUAGCUAGUUGGUGAGGUAACGGCUCACCAAGGCAACGAUGCGUAGCCGACGUGAGAGGGUGAUCGGCCACACUGGGACUGAGACAAGGCCCAGACUCCUACGGGAGGAAGCAGUAGGGAAUCUUCCGCAAUGGACGAAAGUCUGACGGAGCAACGCCGCGUGAGUGAUGAAGGCUUUCGGGUCGUAAAACUCUGUUGUUAGGGAAGAACAAGUGCUAGUUGAAUAAGCUGGCACCUUGACGGUACCUAACCAGAAAGCCACGGCUAACUACGUGCCAGCCGCCGCAGUAA